CCCUUAGAUGUUCUGGGCCGCACGCGCGCUACACUGACGAUGGCAACGAGUUUUUCCUUCGCCGAAAGGUGUGGGUAAUCUUUUGAAACAUCGUCGUGCUGGGGAUAGAUCAUUGCAAUUUUUGAUCUUGAACGAGGAAUUCCUAGUAAGCGCGAGUCAUCAGCUCGCGUUGAUUACGUCCCAGCCCUUUGUACACACCGCCCGUCGCUACUACCGAUUGAAUGGUUUAGUGAGGACUCCUGAUUGGCGCCGCCGCCCCGGCAACGGAGCAGCGGACUGCCGAAAAGUUGUUCAAACUUGAUCAUUUAGAGGAAGUAAAAGUCGUAACA
rnacentral:rRNA from 1 species